UACGUAGGGGGCAAGCGUUGUCCGGAAUCAUUGGGCGUAAAGAGCGUGUAGGCGGUCCGGUCAGUCGGUUGUGAAAGUCAAGGGCUCAACCCUUGAAUGCCGGCCGAUACUGCCGGGCUAGAGUCCGGAAGAGGCAAGUGGAAUUCCCGGUGUAGCGGUGAAAUGCGCAGAUAUCGGGAGGAACACCAAUUGCGAAGGCAGCUUGCUGGGACGGUACUGACGCUGAGGCGCGAAAGCGUGGGGAGCAAACAGG
rnacentral:rRNA from 1 species